ensembl:lncRNA
AUGUCAGGUUGGGCCUCCCCAGAGCCUUCCUUGCCCUGCCCCAUGGUGCCCCCAGGGAUGGCUGGGCUUGUGGAGGUCCUUGGCCUGUGGCCACAACACAGCAGGAAUUCUUCCUCCAGGUGGCUGAGGCCUCGCUGGGCUCACGCAGGGAGCUGGGGCAGGCUAGGUGGCCGGCGCACUCGUCCACUUUUCUGGGAGGGUCUUGGGCGUCACAGUUGGCUCCCUGGACUUGGCUGGCAGAGGGUCUGCCUGCGUGCUGCGUGCCUCACUGAGGGUGCAUAUGUGCCCUGGGGGAAGCCUGGUCUGGGGCAGGAACCGAGGCUCUCUGUGCCUGGCUCGCUCCACCUCCCCAAGCUCUGCGCCUCGGUUUCUCCAUUUGCCGGUGUGGACCUCGGUCUGGAUCCCGGUCUGUUCUGGGGCUUCUGGCUGCUCCUGGGGGGGGGACCAGGUCCCUGCAGUCGGGGGCAGCGCCUCCAUCCUCAGGCCUCACCUGUUCUCUUCUGGACGCAGCGGGAAGGGCCCGGAGGGGACACACGGGGCGCUGGCCCGUCUCCAGGGCCAGGGGUCUGACCACCUUGCAGACCGCUGGGUGGGGCGCCCAGGUGGGGCUGAACCUGCACUGCCUGCGGUAACUAGAUGCCCCUCUGGCCACCCGCCCGCCAAGCAGGCCUCCCUCCUCCCAGCAGCUCAUGUGCGGCUGUUGCUAUAGCAAUGAGGAGACAGCAGGCCGGUUGCUGCAGUUACUCGUGGAGGUGCCCGGAGGCAGGGUGGGGGUGGGUGGGGCCGGCUCAGCGGCCGUGACCCCAGCCAUGCUCGGUGUGCAGGCGGCAGGCGCCUGUCCUGGUCCACGAUGCCUCCUGGGCUGGCCUCAGGCUGGCUGCUGGCUCAGGGCGGGGGUGGAGGCUGGCACGGGCUGGGGCGGGCGUGGGGCGCAGACACACAGCAGGGUGUUCCACACCACAGAGCCCUAUUGUCAACCCAGUAAACACAGCAGCAUCUGGCCCCGCCCUGGGGGACCAGGGCUUGGGCCCUGGGCCAGAGAGAGCACCGCUGGGUCAGCGCUCUGAAGUCAGUUUGGUGUGGGGGUGAGGCUAAAGGAACCUUGGUGCCUCCGCAGAAGCUCAGUAGGGGUAGGGGUCAGGAUGUGCCCUCGGGUGGGCCAGGGGCCCCCAAAGAGCAGCCAGCCCAAGGUCCGCCUCCCCCUUCCACCGUGCCCUCCCUGAGCCAGGAGGGGUGCAGGCAGGAAUGGAGGGAAGUCUGGACCCCAGGCACUUCUUUCCCGCUCCAGGCAGGCCCCAGCAGGGCUCACCUCGGUGCUCAGCCUGCAGCCAAGUCUCCCAGGGAACCCUGAUCAGAGGCCCCAGGCAGGCAGGGCCGCGCCCACUCGAGCCACCUGGGGUCGUGGUGGGCUGGGGCAGGAGGCACCUGCGUCUCAGGGUCAGGGGGCGGGGGGGGUGCUGUCAGACCCCUGACCAGGUCUUCCCGGAGGCUUAGGGCCCAGGGCUACAGCCAGGCCCUCCCCUCACCCAGGCCUCACCUUCUUAGGCCUUUGCCAGCAGGGGAGAUUGAUGGCGCUACAGCUGCAGGGAGGAGGGCUGACCCUGGGGGCGGGGGUGGGAGUCACAGGCCAGUCCAGACACUCCUGGAUCCUCUGAGAUCUUGCCCAGGCGGCCCUGCAGGCAGGCAAGGAGCUGGGCGACGCGUGGGUCAGCGUGGACCACAAGCUGCCUGAUUUGUCCCUGCCGGCCUUCAGCGAGGCACAUCUGGACUGGGUGUGGAGACCUGGUUCGCUUGAGGAGCCAGAGAACACUGACCUCUCGCUCCUCAAAGAGGUUCUGG